rnacentral:rRNA from 1 species
UACGUAGGGUGCGAGCGUUAAUCGGAAUACUGGGCGUAAAGCGUGCGCAGGCGGUGAUGUAAGACAGGUGUGAAAUCCCCGGGCUUAACCUGGGAACUGCAUUUGUGACUGCAUUGCUGGAGUGCGGCAGAGGGGGGGAUGGAAUUCCGCGUGUAGCAGUGAAAUGCGUAGAUAUGCGGAGGAACACCGAUGGCGAAGGCAAUCCCCUGGGCCUGCACUGACGCUCAUGCACGAAGCGUGGGAGC